rnacentral:rRNA from 1 species
UACAGAGGUCUCAAGCGUUGUUCGGAUUCAUUGGGCGUAAAGGGUGCGUAGGCGGCGCGGUAAGUCGGGUGUGAAAUCUCGGAGCUUAACUUCGAAACUGCAUUCGAUACUGCCGUGCUUGAGGACUGGAGAGGAGACUGGAAUUUACGGUGUAGCGGUGAAAUGCGUAGAUAUCGUAAGGAAGACCAGUGGCGAAGGCGGGUCUCUGGACAGUUCCUGACGCUGAGGCACGAAGGUCAGGGGAGCGAAACGGGGAUUAGA